GAGAUCUGCUCUGCAGCUGAGGGGAGAGGGAGGAUCACCCUGUGGGUCAUUAGGUGCCAAAAUGUGUGGGACAACCUGGCCACAUGGAAAGGUGCAAUGGUUGCUCUGCCGCUAUUGCACCUUCAGCUUCUGGGGGAUGGGAGCUCAGGUCUGGCUGCUCCCUCCAUGUUGAGAGUACUUCUUGCUAAACCAGGGGAGCUUUGUUGGUAUUCCCCUUUGGGGAGGAGCUGUGGUUUGGCAGUGUGUGCUUCAAUUAGUGCAGAGCUGGAGGAUUCAGCCACAACCCAUCCUAUCUGGAGAGCACAGUCCUUCGGACUGUAAUUCAGUAAUGAAGAUGACUAAGAAUUAAUAGUUUUAAAUGGUGUCCAUACCCUACUUAAUGCUGGGAUGCAUGUGUUUCCCCCAGCUCCUGCAGGCACAUGCAGGCAUGCUACAGAGGGGUUACUGGCUGUAGCAAGAUUAUGAUCUCAAUUAGUCAUAGAUGAGACACCAGUGAAGAGUGGGGGAAGUUGUGGGAUGGAGGAGAGCGUACUGGGGAGCUGUGUAACAACCAGGCAUGUCCAUGUCCUUCAGCUCCUUCUCUUGGCUGUUCCCCACAUCCAGGCUGUCAGAUGAAGGUUCUCCCACACCUCCAGCAAGCAUCGCAGAGCAGCUGGGGAAGGGGCUGGAGCUCACAGGCUGCAGAUCUGUCUGGUCGCCAUGUUAAAUCCCCCUGAGAGAUGGAACAGGGGAGCUGGCAGCAUCUUCUGGCCUUUGUGCAAAGGAAUAAUGGGAGAAAGAAGGUCACAUCCACUCCUAAAGGAACGUGGAGAAUGCAGUGGAGAGCUCUGUUUAUUGCAGGAGAGAUUUUUCUUUGCGCUGGAAAUGAAGCAGAAGGUGAUUAAUUUGGCAGCAGAAGUGAAAGUUUAACUUAAUUCCCAGGGAAGUUCACUGUUUCUCUGCAAAGCGGCUCAGUUUUUAACAUCACAGUCCUUAUAAUGAGCAGUGCAGCUUCCUGCUGGCAGGCAGACUUUGGGAGCAGAGUUGUGAGGCAGAGUUGAGCCUUUUUCCAGAUAGGCUUGAAGGAUUCCCUCUUCAAAUCUUUAGGUUUAGGUAGAAAGAUCCAUUUUAACUGUUAGUGUACAACAAGAAGUAAAACACGCAUCCUGCUCCUGUCAAUAGGAACUUUGGAGUGUGUAAAGCCAGGAUUUCACCCUGUGUUCCUUGGGAUCUGUCAGACUGAUUACAGCAAAAAUACAUAUCUAGAAUUGGGCACUGGAAAGCAUGUGACCACUUGACUGCAAAAUUAACAAAGAGAUGCAGGUAAAAGAAAUGAAAUAUGAGAAGCCCCCCAAAAACUCGUUUCAGUUUAGGAGGACAGAAAUGGAAGUGGUGAGAAAUCUACUGGAAAACGAUGCUCUUGUCCCUGCCCUGUGCAGAAUUGUUCCUCUGCAAUAUGUUCUCCAGGUCUUUGUCUAGACAUUGUGUGUCUGGAGAGAUGUUUGUCUUCAUGAUGUAUCCAAACAGCAUGUCUGAGUGCUCAGAUGGAUAUUUUGUCAAUAUUUCAAGCUACCAAAGUUUAUCUAUAACUAAGGGCGAGUUUAGAACUCAGCAUUAUUUCCAGUCCCACAGAGCUUCAGCAUUUCAACAAAUAUAGCAUUUUCCUCAGCAGAAGGCAAUGUCUGUCCUCCCUCCCACACUCCACCCUCUUCCCCCUGAUGUGUUGGAAUACGGAAGUAUAGGAGGGAUGACAUUGGUUUGCUAAAUGGAAUACACCUCUGGAGUUAACAGCGACUUCAGCCCUCUUUUCCUUCUCUGUUAGCCCAGGACAGCACCCCAGCGAGGACAGUGACAGCCUGGUGAGAGCUGCAGUGUAGCACUGCGUGUAUUUGACAAGCUGAGUUUGACACUCAGUCUGGCAGAGUGUCAGUUUGUCAAAUACCCCAAGUGAGGCACUUGCUGAGCAACACGGCCGCGCACCGAGGGGAUGGACUCCUUCACACGCUCCUCUCUAAAAGCCUAAUGAGGGACUUCCACAUCAGUGUCCAGCCUAAUGACAUCUUCACAGUGGCUGAAACAAAGAGACAUUCAUAAGAAUGAGGACUAAGUCCCCCUUUAAAGCUGCUACCUCACUCCACCUCCUCAACAUAACAGGGGGAAGGACAAGUUCUUGAAUUAAGAUGGAGUCACUUUAAUGACAAUAGCAAAAGCCAUAUGUAGAAGCGAUCAAAAAGAAGUAGGGAGAUUAAUUUCCUACUUCCCAUCAGCAGGCAAUGCCCAGGCACUGCCUGGGAAUCAGAGCCUCAGUACAUGUGAUGGUUGCUUCCAAAGGCAACUGAUGUAACCAGAAACACCUCUCCCUACUCCUCCCACAUCUCUCAGCCUUAUUGCUGAGCUGGGUGUUAAAUGGCGUGAAAAAUCCUUGUGGUCGGGAUAGGUCAGCCAUCCUGGCUAUGUCCCACCCUGACCUGCUUGUCCCCAUGGGUUGGACAGAGAGCCUUGGUGCUGCACAAGUGCUCAGCAAUAGCCAAAUCCCUGGGAGUUACUGACACUGUUUUAGGCACAAAUGUAAAGCAGUGUUAGGGCUGUUAUGAGGAAUGUUAACUCUGUCCCAGCCAGAUAAAAGAAAUUUGACUUUUCACUAAGCAAAAAGGCUUUUCUGAAACAAAUAACAGUAUGAUGCCCUCAAAAGUCUUCUCAACAUAAUAGGUGAAAAAUUAUACUUACAAAGAAACUUCAUAGAUGGGUUCUGAAAAAAAGGAAGAAUUGAACAUAUGCAUCAGUACAUUUUAUGACUAAUGUGCCCCAGGAAUAAAAAUAAAAAGGGAAGAAAGCAAGCAAAACCAACAAAGAAACCACAACUGCUCCCAGGUACUCCCACUUUCAGGAAUCACUCUCCACUCUGUUGCUCCUUAGGGGACACCAACUGGGACAGAGCAAUGGGACUGUGGGGAUAGAAAUGGGGCUGGGGAGAACACAGUGCUGCCCUACCCUGCCUGCCCACCCCUAUUAGAAAAUGCUAUUCUGAAUGUCUUUAACAAUAAUAAUAAAGUUAGCAUGCUCUUAUGUGUUCAAGCAUUCAAUAAACAUAUUCUGUGUUUGUUAAUUAAAAAGGAAAUGCCUUUCUCACUCUUUCACCACCUAUUGUGAUUUGUGUGUGCUUUGGUCAAGUAUCUUCACAAUUCAGCUACCAGAGCUGUCAAACAUAGCUGUGAGGACAGUACCAACCCCAGCCCACAAAGCUCUCAAAGCUAAACCAGGGCAGGGAUUCAAGCUCCCCACAACAGCUUACUCACCAUUUUUGGACUUUCUAGCACAAGCAAUAGCAAAAAUGACAAAGAAAACCACAGCGCCGCCCAACACAGCAAUCAGGAUGAACAGGUACAGGUGACUCCUGCGGGAACCUAGAGCAAUAUGGCAUGAGACUUUCAAACAGAGAAUCCCUCCCAGGCUGCAACAGCACUUACAUGGUGCUGACCAUGUCCUGUAGGCCCAGCCAGCCCCUGAGCUCUUCAUGCAGCUGUGUGCUACUUGUCCAUGUCCCUGCAACUCCCCCUGUAACAUCAUCUUGCCCUUUUAACCCCACAUAGGUGUGUUUGUGUAAGCCAGAGCCUCCUGCUGAGUGCUGGGGCUGUAGCUGUGAGCUAGGCAGAAGCAUGAAGUGCAUGUCAUGGAAGAAAGGCUGGUGCCCUCACCACGUUUGUUCAAGCAUGCUAUCCAAUUGUAUCUGGAGCAUGUUCAAACCUACCAUGGCACUGCAAACCUAGAUAAGGUAGAGAAAGUCAGCUUGAGUUGCACACAGUCCUUUUUGUUGCUCCAGCAUUGAGACCAGAAUGAACUACUGGUCAGGAGCACUGCAAGAAGCCUGGAUGUUCUGGUUAUGGAACUUAUUUCUUUUUUCCUUACAAGUACCUGGUUUAUUUUAAGAGCUCCUAUAGAAAAGCUGGUAAAACCACUUAUAGCCAAAAUACAGUAAAUGAACCUUGGAAUGGAAGAUACUGAGCAGUCAGUUCCGAGUUACACUAAUGUCUCUACUUACUCUGAGUUGUUUCAUCUGUUUCUGGGUAUCCCACAGCAUUCUCAGAAGUCACUGCUGCUUCAGGCAGAUCUACAAAGCAAACAAGAAUGAAAAGCAUGCAGUGCAAUUCCUAUCUGCCUUUUCUAGGCCAUGAAAACAGAUAAGCUCUGGAAACAAGCAACCCCUUCCCUUAACUUAUAUCUGCUAAAGCUGAUUUACGUGACCUGCUACAGUGGGGCACAAUCAAUUCAGAUGAAAUGAAUGACCUCAAUGUUAAAGUUUCUACAAGAGAAUCUACUCUAGCCCAGGUCUGAGUUCCCACAACCCACAGAGAUGAACAGGCAACUGCACGUUCUUCCUCAGAGGAGAUAGCAAGGAAAGCAACUGCUUUACAGUGGCUAUUGUCUCAUUUGUAUCUACUGUUUCUGUUCAGUCCUUUCUAAGGGGAGUCUGAGGUGGCUUGCCUAAUAGUAGAUAUCAAUAUAAACUUCCCCCUCCACUGGGCUGGUUUUAUUUGGGCAUCAUUGAAUUUGUGUUCCCGCUAAGAGAUUGCUGUAAGGAACCGCAAUGGCAGUACACAGUCUGCAUGGGCUCUUGGGAAAGAUUUCAAGCACUACACCACCUUGUUGUCUUGGUAACUUUUGGACUGACUUAAGCAUCCUCCCAAGAGCACUGUUAUCACUGCGAAACACUGGAUCAGCUCCCUCCACCCAACCCCUCGCCCUGGCCACACAUUGCUCCCUGCUGACCUGUGGCUGGGCGGUGUGCCUCCGUCGCUACAGACAGAUCUGCAAGUGAAACAGGGCAGGAAGGCUCAGUGUGUGCCAGCAGGACCUCAGCACUCCCUUAGCCACUCCCAGCAGCCUGGCAUGCUUCUCCAUAGGCACUACAGCAUUGGCUUCACUCUGCCAGCAUGGCCUUCCAGGCAACACGAGGUGUGCUGAGGGCUGAACCAGGCUCCCUCCUGCUCAGCCACGCCGUCAGGGGCUGGGUGCCAUCUCCUGGGCCCUGCCUGACCUGCUGUCUUCUGAAGCAGACAGGAUGCAAUCCACAUUUGACAUUAUGCACCCAAACCCUGCAUAGAAGGAAAUCUUUCCCCCACUGUGGCUUCCUUGAUGAAGGGCUGAGGGCUGGGACUCACCUCUCACUGUCAGCUCAACAGUGUCGCUGCGACGCACCACCCCUGUGCUGACCCUGUUCUGCACCUCGCAGUAGUACAUCCCCGCAUCGGAGGGCUGCAGGCUGUUCCACACCAGCUCAGCCUCACUGCCUAGGAGCUGCCCAUUCCUGCCUGGUGCCACCCGGAACCAGUGGUAGCUGAUGGGGGGGGAACCUUGGGCCACGCAGGUCAGUCUGGCCUUGGCUCCCGCUGGCACCACCAGCCCCAGCUCUCCAGCCACGAUAAUGGGCUUGGUCACAACCUCUGCAAGACAAAACAGGUGAGCCCGGAUCACGGUGUCUGUGGCAGAGGAAGGUUUCCCUCACAUUGCAACAACUCCCAUCCUUACAGUCCUUUCCCAGGACAUCACCUCCCUGCUGUGUUGUGCUCUGUGCAGCUGUGCCUAUGGAUAGAUCUGUACCAGCUGUGUCACCUAUUGCCACUGCUGCAUCACAGCAGCCUGCUCUGCUGAGUUGUUACCUUUCCCAAUUCUGCCACAAGGCCCCUCUGAUGAAAUAAUGUUUUUUUAAUACAUACUGAGGGUGCCUGGAGAGGAGUGAAGACACAUCUGGCCAGCAUGACUCCCUUGUACUACAAAGAGCCAGGGACACUGGGUAUCUGCACAGAACUAGACCCAGUCCUGGGCACUAGGUCUACCCCUAGAUCUGUAGCCCACUGGCAGAUCCAGAUCAGGUGCAGUCUCACUUCCUGAAUCUACAGAACUGAGCACAAAGCUCUUCCCAUCUGGGUGCCUCAACACCUGGCUUGGAUGUGGGUAGGCAGAAUGGAAUGAACUGCCUCUUCUCCAAAUUGUUCUGCUUUUUAUACAACAGCAGGGCUUUAUUGCUGGAUUUACCUUUGGCAACUUUAAAUGUAGUGGUCACCUCCUUUGUUAUCAAGCUGUAGUUUUCAGACCUCCAGAUGAUUUGACAGGUGUAGUGUCCACUGUCAGGAAUUUCAAGGUCUGUGAUAUGGAGUGAAGCAUCCCCCGGGCUGCUCUUUGGGACACUGACUCGGUUUCGGAACUGAGACAGUGGGAUGUGAUCACCAGAACUGUCCCUCCGAAAGAUGGUGGAGGUGCUGAGGUCUCUCUCCAUGCUCCAGGUGAGUGUCUGCUGUGUGAAACCUUGUGAGGGUGUGUAGGUACAUGGUAAAGUAGUGGAUCCCAUCCAUACCCCUUUGACCUGCGUGGCACCAGACAGAUCCAGGAGGGCUGCAAAGAAACAACAAUUGAAGGGAAGAAACAAGAGCACAGCAGAAGAGGGGAACAUCCCUUAGGGCCAAGAGAAACCACUAGAGACAGUGGAAGACAGCAUGUGGUAAAAUCUUAGAUACGCCGUAGACCACAGCCAACUAAAUCUGGGCCUGUCCUCAUCUCACUGAGCACAGGGAAGUGAACAGUUACAUCAAACUCAUGGCUAUUCUUCUUGCUUCUCUCUGGACACUGGCCAGUUCUCAAUUCCUUCUCAGUACUGAGAGACACAAAUUCUGCUCCUAGUAACUGCAUCACAGCUGCAGCCCCCAUGAGAACUUCAGGAGCAGCUCUUAUUCCUGCUCCCUUGCCACAGCCUUCAUGCACUACUUCUGCUGCUCGGCUUUCUGCUUAUACUCACAGGAUGACUCAAACAGCAGUGGCCUGUCCCUCCACUGCUGACACUGCUUGUUCUGACAGCAUCGUCCUGUACCCCCUGAACGAGAGGAAGGGUGAACAAAUCACAUUUACUGAGUCACUGUAAUAAGAGUGUGCGUAAGACUCAGUAUUUGCACUCCUUAGCAUCAUUAGCUUCUUAUGAAACUUCCCUAUUGCUCACAAAGGCAGCAGUGCAGGAAAGUGCAAGGAAAAGCCCUUCUCUGUGCAGCAGCUCUCUCUCUGAGCCACAGGAGGGGCCCUUCAGGUGCAGGGGGGGUUUGUGGAUCUCUGUCCACAGAGUCAGCCGAGGGGGCUGCUGCAGCUGAGCUCUGUGGAAGCUUAUUUCUGACAGCACCAGCAAAAUACUCAUCCCUGAGAUGAUAUUUUUAAAAGCAACAUUUCCUCCCUGUGAUGCUUAUUAAACUGAGCUGCUUCCUGAGACUUCCAGAAGAACAACAUCAUUUCUCACACUGAAGGAGGUAGAGCUGAAUAGACAGAAACCUGCAGAGCUAUGUUUGGAAGCAACAGAGUAGUUGAGAGAGAGAUUUGUAUUAUCAGCAAUGCAUGAAAAAAAAGAGUUCUUACACUCUGGUCUAUUUGUAAAACAGUUGAAUACCCCCUUCCUAGCCUGCUGGCACCAUCAUUCCUGGUAGCAUAGAAGCACCAAGCAGGCAGGUAUCUGCCUUUACUGGUCUGAACUAAUGGAUUUGGAACAUAUGAUCAAACCCAAUCUCUUGCAUUAGCCUUGGAGAAUUUCAGCUCUGACCUAGAUUCCUUGGCUGGUAUUUGUCUCAGCCAAAUAAGUAUGCUGCCAGGACCCAAAUGGGCACAGGAGGAGGGAGUGUAGACUUUGUGAUGCUUCAUUUAUUCUCCCACUCUUUCCAGUUUUCUGUCCAGUGAGACCAUUAUCUCACAUCAGCAGCACUUUACCUGAAUUUAGAUAGACAUGGCUCACCUCUAUCUGUGCCUGUUUUUCUCAUUCUGCCUUCCCCCUCUUUCCCCAGAAAGACACAGGUUGUGUUCCACUGCAUUAUCCCACAAUAAAUGUGAAAUGUGGAACAUACUUCAACAUGUUUGCAUCAGGAGCAAUUCCUCGCUUCUGUAAGCAACUUGUCUGAGCACCUUUCUGUUUCCUGAGACCUUCCUUUGCCAAUCUCAGCUGUCCCAAGAGCAGCACAUAUAUCAUGGGCAUACGCAUUGAAGCCAGGAUUCCACUGUCCCCUCUUCUAAUGCACGUAGAGUGCCAGGACAUCAGGAGUAACCAAGGGGAAUUAUGUGUGCCUGCAUGUCACAGUUACGGUUAUAUCUCUUCUUCCCAGGACCACAGUAGCAGAGCAAUGGAGAUGCAUUACUAAACAGGAACCAAAGAAUUGCUCAGGUUGGAAAAGACCCUCAAGAUCAUCCAGUCCAACCACCCACCUGCCAAAUUCUAGAAGAAUGUGCACGUUCCAGCUUCUCAAAGAUAGUUCUGGGAAGUAACACCACAUCAGACUUGUCCUCUACAAGAGAUCCUGAAAGGUCCUGCUUUGUUCAGCUGUGGCACAUGGAGCCAACCUGCCUAACUCUGCCCCAUCUGCUGCACUCUCAGAAGCAGCUGGGUGUCCCUGAUAGGAACCUCUCCAAUGAAGACUUGUGACCUGUCAGGCUCUAUUUUUCAAGUAGAAACAAAUGGCUUUCCACACUGCACAACUUUCAAAACUGAAAAUAAUUCUCCUACUCUCUUAAUUCUGAUUUUCCUUCUCAUACAAAGAAGCUGUUACUCACCCCUGCAGCCAACGAAAGCCAUCACCACCACUGCCAGCAGCACCACCGCUCCCAUCUUCCCUGGGCUGGGGCUCCGCUCUCCUCCUCCCAAGCUUGUUGAGAGAUCUCCACACUUGGACCAGAAGACAAGUCAAGAACACUUCCCUUUCUUCUGUCCUAUGUCAUCUGGGACCCAGGCUGAUCUGCUGUCCUUUUUCCUUCCUUCUUUUUGAAAUAUCACGAGUCCACUCACUGAGGUGAAGGAUGACCAAAGGCUGCAAGGAUCUAUCUCUUCCCAUUUCAAAUCCCAUCCCCACCCUCUUCUCUUGCCUUUUUCUGACUAAUACUCUAUUUUUAUACCUCCCCCCCCCCCCCAUGGUUUCAUAUAUAUUUCUUUUUUCCUUUUAAUUUUCUUCCAGUUAUUCCGUGUUUGCAUUCACUCCAUAAUGAAAUUGCUUUGUGAUGGCAAGGUAAUCAAGUACUCAGUAACAAGGGAAAGCAAACUGGAGAAUGCUUGAAAAGCCAGACAUUCAGCUACCUGUGACUUGAGUGCAAUGAUAUGGCUCAGCAUCUCCUCCCUUCACACUCAAGGGCCCAAAACCAGGCAUCCAGAAAUGGCAAAGUACAGCAGCCUUCUCAAGGGAGGUGUGAGCACACCAACUCACCGCACAUCAAGCAGGAGCACAAGGCACAGAUCAACCUGCUGGUGUUCCAUUUGUUUCCUUGGUGCCUUCUUUGCGGAUGAUACUGUGCUCUUCCACCAUGCACACACAGUACUUCAGCAGCACAUUAUGUACAGGUCAGUCUGUGGCCCCAGGGAGGAAAAGGAAUAGCCAGAGUUCCUUUGCCUAACAGAGCCGUCUAGACCAGAAAAACUUUUUUUGCUUGUUUGCUUUUCCUUUUCUCCUGUUUCAACAGAAGUGUUUAAAAAAAAAAAAAAAAAAAAAAAAAAGUACACAUCCACAUCCUGCUCUUUACUAUGAAAGGAAUUUCCCUGCAAAAGCUGCAUUUUUCUCCACCUGCCUAGAAACCGUGCCCUGUUGUGAUGCAGCCGCAGAGGUACUUCCCAAAACAGCAUGGGAAGGUGCACGGCAAAGAUCAGCAACCCGGAGUCAUCUACACUUAAUGCUACAGCAGCUUUUAGCACUCAUAGGUGAGCAUCACUGCUUGCUGCUCCCAUUUUCAGAGCAUCACUGGUUAUCUUGGCUCACUUUUCUGCUGUGGUCAUCUGGCUCAUGAGCAAAAGCCACUGUGUUUGCCCCACUUUGUGCUCUGCAAACACUCUGCAGUGUCUUGUAGGGAAAUGAUUUGUGGCUGCUGGCAGCGGGACUUCAGUCUAGGAGGUGUUCUGGGUACACACUGUGAAGGUACCUUUAAAAGUAGAUCAAAAUGUUACCAGUAGGCGUCAUGCAUGUUAUUAUCCUGUGUUCAGUGUAUUAUUAUUAACAGAAGGAGUGUAGAGAGUGUUUUUUACAGCUAGUUAGCUGAGAUGGGUCAUAAACACAGUGCAGCUAGACAAACAGCCGUAUCACCUGCAAGAGCAGUUAGGAUAACAAGAUGCCCUGGGAUGGUGAGAAACUAGCCAUGGUUUUGGGAACUCAGCAAGGGAGUAGCUUUCAGUUGAUAACAACAAGCUGUUAAGAUACUCGGGGAUGGUAUGUAAUUGGGAACCAAUGAUGAGCUCCACUUUUGCAAUAUGUAUGAGCUAAUUAUCCGUAUUAUAAAGGUACACGCAGCCAAGGAAUAAACGAGAAUAGCUGAUCAUAUGUCAAUGA